UACGAAGGGGGGCUAGCGUUGUUCGGAAUUACUGGGCGUAAAGGGCGCGUAGGCGGUACUUCAAGUCAGGCGUGAAAGCCCCGGGCUCAACCUGGGAACCGCGCUUGAGACUGGAGAACUAGAGUUCGGGAGAGGAUGGUGGAAUUCCCAGUGUAGAGGUGAAAUUCGUAGAUAUUGGGAAGAACACCGAUGGCGAAGGCGGCUAACUGGUCCAGUACUGACGCUGAGGUGCGAAAGCGUGGGGAGCAAACAGG
rnacentral:rRNA from 1 species